UGGGGAAUAUUGCACAAUGGGCGCAAGCCUGAUGCAGCCAUGCCGCGUGUGUGAAGAAGGCCUUCGGUUGUAAAGCACUUUCAGCGAGGAGGAAGGUGGUGAACUUAAUACGUUCAUCAAUUGACGUUACUCGCAGAAGAAGCACCGGCUAACUCCGUGCCAGCAGCCGCGGUAAUACGGAGGGUGCAAGCGUUAAUCGGAAUUACUGGGCGUAAAGCGCACGCAGGCGGUUUGUUAAGUCAGAUGUGAAAUCCCCGGGCUCAACCUGGGAACUGCAUUUGAAACUGGCAAGCUAGAGUCUCGUAGAGGGGGGUAGAAUUCCAGGUGUAGCGGUGAAAUGCGUAGAGAUCUGGAGGAAUACCGGUGGCGAAGGCGGCCCCCUGACGAAGACUGACGCUCAGGUGC
rnacentral:rRNA from 1 species